rnacentral:tRNA from 1 species
GCAACUGUGGUUCAGUGGUAAAAUACUUGCCUUGCGCUCAGGGGACCUGAGUUUGAUUCCCAGCCAGUGCA